UCGGGAAUUUUGGGCAAUGGGGGAAACCCUGACCCAGCAACGCCGCGUGAGGGAUGAAGGCCUUCGGGUCGUAAACCUCUGUCGGGAGGGAAGAAAGGUAAACGGUCGAACAGGCCGGGUGCUUGACGGUACCUCCAAAGGAAGCACCGGCUAACUCCGUGCCAGCAGCCGCGGUAAUACGGAGGGUGCGAGCGUUGUUCGGAAUCAUUGGGCGUAAAGCGCGUGUAGGCGGCUUGGUAAGUCGGAUGUGAAAGCCCGGGGCCCAACCCCGGAACUGCAUUCGAAACUGCCUCGCUAGAGUCCCGGAGAGGAAGGCGGAAUUCCCGGUGUAGAGGUGAAAUUCGUAGAUAUCGGGAGGAACACCAGCGGCGAAGGCGGCCUUCUGGACGGUGACUGACGCUGAGACGCGAAAGCGUGGGGAGCAAACAGGAUUAGAUACCCCCGUAGUCC
rnacentral:rRNA from 1 species